CAAUAACCACGUCAUUCCUUUAUCCUGAGGACGUCUGUUUCUCUCCCAAGAGCGGAAGCACGCGGAGCGGCGGAGGAGCGUACCUGCAAACCGUGCUACAGUAUCGGAUCUGGAGCGUCUACCGCGGGGGCGAUGGAGGAGAGCUCGUCGGCCGGCAGCGCCGAUCGAGGCGGAGGCGAUGCCGGAGAUUCGCUGCGUAAUGCGAGCCAGGGCAAAUCCUGCAAGGGCUGCCUGUAUUACUCCUCGCUCCUCAAAUCGGACUCCAGAAACCCUUUAUGCCUUGGCCUCACGAGGCCGCUCAAACAUGUAGUUCCUAGCUCCAUUGUGGGGGAAUCUGAGAUGGAAGCUGAUAAAGAAGGUCGAAGCCUUUCGGACUUCAGAUACGUUUGCGUUGGUUAUUCAGUGUUCUUAAAUGACAAAGAAAAUACCACUGAAAAUCAAGAGAAUCAAGCAAAGUUGCCUUUUUGUGUGGGCCUUGAGCUGUUAGUGGAUAGGAAAACAUCAGCAGCUGAGCAUGUGCCCACUCAUGUGCACAAUAAGGAAGGCCUUGAUCUGCUGACGAUUACAAGUAGAAUGUAAUGGAGAAUGGCUAAUUAGAGCUUUGCCAGGGUCUUUUACACUUUGACCAUUGUUUCUCUAGAUGAGACUUUCUGCCUUGAUGCUGUUCGAUGAAAUAUAUCUAUUAUGGUUGGUUGUGCAACUUUUUUGUGUGGUAAAAUAUUUCAUCUCUGAACCACGAUCAACAGGGGUCCAAAAAUUUACAGUUCCUAUUCAUUCGCAUAGGGAGGAAGCUAAAACGGUACAUUUGCCCCAGAAUAACUUCUUUAGCAAGUUUUCCAGGAGCGCGGGGCUUGUGGCGUCAGGUGUAGUUAAAAACCUCGUCAGAGUGGGUUACUCUAUAAAGAAUAAUUUCGAAGAUAUACUGUAUGAUCGCAGGCGUCCCAAGUAAACUCGUAUCUGAUGCACCUUGUUGAUCUCAAUUCACAGUAACACAAUAAUGUUUGGCGUUAUGUUCAGAUUAUUAUUGUGUAAGAUGAUGACGAUUACACCCGUGACAGAGAGCUGGGGAUCGACUGGCCAAUGGUAGAUUGCAUCACCUUGUUAGUCAUUUGCCAACAAUGUCCGGCUACAACUUGUUGAAUAUUGACAGACUGUUAAAAUAGAAACCAUAUUCUUAAUAAUUUUCACUUUGAGAAUA